rnacentral:rRNA from 1 species
AUGAUAGACGUAUUGUUCGUUAGUAGCCGUAGCUGUUCUUGGAGUGAUGUUGUUGAUGACGAUGUUGGCGACAAUCUGCUACUGAUGGCGUUGGAGACGACGAUGAGUAGCGCCGCCCAACUUGGACGAAAGACGGCCCGUGAUGAUGAACUUGAGCAGUCAUGCAGUGCGCUUCCCAAAACCCUAAAUCAUGCUCUCCGGUCGGUGCAGAAUUGCAAGGGCAAAGGGUUCCUUUUGCGGCGGGAUCCGGUGGUCGUUGGCGGCCGGCAGCGGCUUCUGCGGCGGUCGGUGUGCGUGAUCUGGCGCGUCCCUUCCUCCCCUGUUCGGCGUGCGGGCCAGCCUGGUCGGGUCGCGCUUCCUCUUGGUCGCCGGUUCUGUACAGGAGGUGCUGCUGGUGGCGGAGAUCUAGUUCGGUCGAAAUCCCUGGUCAGCCAUGACCGGCCGCGUCGACAGCUAUGCCUGAGGGAGCCGUUUCCCUCCUUGGAGGCGUCGGUAUGGACUGAUCUCCUCACUUCACCUUCCCCUAGGUUUCCCGGGCGAAAGCCCCAACUCUGUUGGGCGGCGGCGGCGCUCAGGGCGUCGUUCCCUUCUUGA